AGGAAGGUGGGGAUGACGUCAAAUCAUCAUGCCCUUUAUGACUUGGGCUACACACGUACUACAAUGGCGUUAAACAAAGAGAAGCAAGACCGCGAGGUGGAGCAAAACUCAGAAACAACGUCCCAGCUCGGACUGCAGGCUGCAACUCGCCUGCACGAAGUCGGAAUUGCUAGUAAUCGUGGAUCAGCAUGCCACGGUGAAUACGUUCCCGGGCCUUGUACACACCGCCCGUCACACCAUGAGAGCCGGGGGGACCCGAAGUCGGUAGUCUAACCGCAAGGAGGACGCCGCCGAAGGUAAAACUGGUGAUUGGGGUGAAGUCGUAACAAGGUA
rnacentral:rRNA from 1 species